CCUUUUUAUUAUCUCUUUUGACUUCACCCAGGUGCAAGCCCAGAGGCAGUCUAUACCCCAACUCAACUGGCUGGUCCUCAGUGCUGCCUGCUUCUGUGCCCAACUUAGAACUACGCAUCUGCCGCCUCUUGGUAACAUGUCAUUAUAAGCCCGAAGUGGACAAAAGCAAGUGAAGGCAUUGAAACAAAUCAUUCAAAGUCGGAAACAGGGUUUGAUGGGACAUCUAUAGCAUGUAGAAAUAUUUAUGAAAAAUGGGGAAAAGCCUGCAGGGAGCAUAGUGGGGCGAUUCCUUAUAAAAUCACUUGGAAGUGCUGGGGGCUUCUUCAUCAGCCCUAACCCUGCCAACCACUCCUGCCUCACUGAAUGUGCCAACGGAUUGCUCAGCUCCAACCAAGGAAAAGAAGAAGGAAGUUGGAUACUUUAUACCCUCUACAUUGUCCAUUAGCAACACAACCUAGAGCUAGGAUGGAGAAAGAAAAUGCCAAAAUGCUAAUGAAAAAUGUUCAGAUGUAUCACAUAUUAAGCAUACAUGAUCUCAAAUAUUUUGCCUGAUUUAUGCUAUGCAUGCUAUUUUCCAUGUUGUGUAGGCUCUGGUGCUAGUCUACAUUUAUAGAAAUCUCCAUCAGCUGUACAAAUGGCAAUUUAAAUACAUUUAACUAUGUGCUAAUAAUCUCAUAAUACAAUUUAUCAUGUAUGAUUGGCAGAAGAAAUUAUUUGGGGCAAAAGCUAUGAUUGUAUUGUUGUAAGUUAUUAUGAAUGCUGGGCAGUGUAGGGCAUGGCACUUGCUACCACCUCCCAGAAAUGUGUAAGGGCUGUUGAAGGUGCCUUGUUCUUCUUUCUUCUUCAAUAUAAGCAAAGCUAUUUAUAUCAUAAAGCUGAAACUUGAAAUUCC
rnacentral:lncRNA from 1 species